GUUGUAUAGUCAAGUAAUUAAGUGCAUGUGGUGGAUGCCUUGGCAGUCAGAGGCGAUGAAAGACGUGAUAGCCUGCGAAAAGCUCCGGGGAGGCGGCAAAUAUCCUUUGAUCCGGAGAUGUCUGAAUGGGGGAACCCACCUACUUUAAGGUAGGUAUUGCAACAUGAAUACAUAGUGUUGCAAGGCGAACGAGGGGAAGUGAAACAUCUCAGUACCCUUAGGAAAAGAAAUCAAUUGAGAUUCCCUCAGUAGCGGCGAGCGAACGGGGAUCAGCCCCUUAAGUUAUGUGUGUUUUAGUGGAACGCUCUGGGAAGUGCGAACGUAGAGGGUGAUAUUCCCGUACACGAAAGGGCACACAUAAUGAUGACGAGUAGGGCGAGGCACGUGAAACCUUGUCUGAAUAUGGGGGGACCAUCCUCCAAGGCUAAAUACUCCUGACUGACCGAUAGUGAACCAGUACCGUGAGGGAAAGGCGAAAAGAACCCCUGUGAGGGGAGUGAAAUAGAUCCUGAAACCGCAUGCAUACAAGCAGUGGGAGCACCUUCGUGGUGUGACUGCGUACCUUUUGUAUAAUGGGUCAGCGACUUAUAUUCAGUAGCGAGGUUAACCGUAUAGGGGAGCCGUAGAGAAAUCGAGUCUUAAUAGGGCGUUUAGUUGCUGGGUAUAGACCCGAAACCAGGCGAUCUAUCCAUGAGCAGGUUGAAGGUUGGGUAACACUAACUGGAGGACCGAACCCACUGUCGUUGAAAAGCCAGGGGAUGACUUGUGGAUAGGGGGGAAAGGCUAAUCAAGCCUGGUGAUAGCUGGUUCUCCCCGAAAGCUAUUUAGGUAGCGCCUCGGACGAAUACCAUAGGGGGUAGAGCACUGUUUCGGCUAGGGGGUCAUCCCGACUUACCAAACCGAUGCAAACUCCGAAUACCUAUGAGUACUAUCCGGGAGACAGACUGCGGGUGCUAACGUCCGUAGUCAAGAGGAAAACAAUCCAGACCGCCAGCUAAGGCCCCAAAAUCAUAGUUAAGUGGGAAACGAUGUGGGAAGGCAUAGACAGCUAGGAGGUUGGCUUAGAAGCAGCCACCCUUUAAAGAAAGCGUAAUAGCUCACUAGUCGAGUCGGCCUGCGCGGAAGAUGUAACGGGGCUAAAACUAUGUGCCGAAGCUGCGGAU
rnacentral:rRNA from 1 species